rnacentral:rRNA from 1 species
UAAGGCAACGGCUUACCAAGGCACCGAUUCAUAUCAGACCUGAGAGGGUGAUCGUCCACACAGGAACUGAGACACGGUCCAGACACCUACCGGAGGCAGCAGUAGGGAAUCUUCCGCAAAGGGCGAAAGCCUGACGGAGCAACGCCUCGUGAGUGAUGAAGGUCUACGGAUCGUAAAACUCUGGUAUAAGGGAAGAAAAUAUGUGUAAGUAACUGUGCACAUCUUGACGGUACCAAA